rnacentral:rRNA from 1 species
UGAGAAUCUGCCCUUCAGUGAAGAAUACCCUCGAGAAAUCGAGGCUAAUACUGCAUACGUCUCUACGGAGAGAAAGAUGGCCUCUUUGCUGUCGCUGAGGGAUGAGCUUGCGUACUAUUAGCUAGUUGGUAGGGUAAUGGCCUACCAAGGCGAUGAUGGUUAGCCGGCUGAGAGGGUGUACGGCCACAUUGGAACUGAGACACGGUCCAGACUCUACGGGAGG